rnacentral:rRNA from 1 species
GAAUUCGCCCUUAGAGUUUGAUCCUGGCUCAGGACGAACGCUGGCGGCGCGCCUAACACAUGCAAGUCGAACGAGCGAGAGAGAGCUUGCUUUCUCAAGCGAGUGGCGAACGGGUGAGUAACGCGUGAGGAACCUGCCUCAAAGAGGGGGACAACAGUUGGAAACGACUGCUAAUACCGCAUAAGCCCACGGGUCGGCAUCGACCAGAGGGAAAAGGAGCAAUCCGCUUUGAGAUGGCCUCGCGUCCGAUUAGCUAGUUGGUGAGGUAAUGGCCCACCAAGGCAACGAUCGGUAGCCGGACUGAGAGGUUGAACGGCCACAUUGGGACUGAGACACGGCCCAGACUCCUACGGGAGGCAGCAGUGGGGAAUAUUGCACAAUGGGGGAAACCCUGAUGCAGCGACGCCGCGUGGAGGAAGAAGGUCUUCGGAUUGUAAACUCCUGUUGUUGAGGAAGAUAAUGACGGUACUCAACAAGGAAGUGACGGCUAACUACGUGCCAGCAGCCGCGGUAAAACGUAGGUCACAAGCGUUGUCCGGAAUUACUGGGUGUAAAGGGAGCGCAGGCGGGAAGACAAGUUGGAAGUGAAAUCCAUGGGCUCAACCCAUGAACUGCUUUCAAAACUGUUUUUCUUGAGUAGUGCAGAGGUAGGCGGAAUUCCCGGUGUAGCGGUGGAAUGCGUAGAUAUCGGGAGGAACACCAGUGGCGAAGGCGGUCUACUGGGCACCAACUGACGCUGAGGCUCGAAAGCAUGGGUAGCAAACAGGAUUAGAUACCCUGGUAGUCCAUGCCGUAAACGAUGAUUAAAAGGUGUUG